CCCUCAGGUCAUGGAGUGUCACCACGGCAAUGGAAGCUCCUCCUUCCCAGAAAGGCAGUGUCAGAGCUGUGUGCUUCCUUGAUACUGAUGAUGAACUCAUGGUCUGUGGUUAUGACACAGGCAGAUUGGAGAUAUGGCAUCAGAGUUCAGUGGUUUACUGGACGAAGGUCAGUGAUGGCGCCUUAUGUGCAGUCACUGGUAUGCCAGAGGAUCAGUUAGCUGUGGCUUGCAGCGACUGCUCUGUAUUU